CUAGAUAAAGCAUCUCA
rnacentral:tRNA from 1 species